ACGAACGCUGGCGGCCUGCCUAACACCUGCAAGUCGCACGAGACCUUCGGGUCUAGUGGCGCACGGGUGCGUAACGCGUGGGAACCUGCCCUUAGGUUCGGAAUAACUCCCCGAAAGGGGUGCUAAUACCGGAUAAUGUCUUCGGACCCAAGAUUUAUCGCCUUUGGAUGGGCCCGCGUUGGAUUAGCUAGUUGGUAGGGUAAAAGCCUACCAAGGCGACGAUCCAUUGCUGGUCUGAGAGGAUGAUCAGCCACACUGGGACUGAGACACGGCCCAGACUCCUACGGGAGGCAGCAGUGGGGAAUAUGGGACAAUGGGCGAAAGCCUGAGCCAGCAAGGCCGCGUGAGUGAUGAAGGCCUUAGGGUGGUAAAGCUCUUUUACCCGGGAUGAUAAGGACAGUACCGGGAGAAUAAGCUCCGGCUAACUCCGU
rnacentral:rRNA from 1 species